CACCAUAAAGCAUAUAAAUAACAGAUUAUUAUGUAUAAGGAAUGUAUAAACACUACCAUUCUGAAGAUAUAUCUUGCUUUUUAUGUUUUAUGAAAGUAUUUCCAGUCAAGUGUUUUGCACAAUGUUAGUUAAAAUAAAGGACUUUUUUUCUCCUUAUUGAGGUUCUUUAAGAAAGUAUCUUAAAAGUUAUGAGAUAAUUUUCACCCGUGAAAGAACACUGAGUAAGUAGCUGCAAAUCUGCACAUUGAACGAGCUGAAUUUCAGAAAUGCUUCAACAAAAUAGAUCACUCAAACAGACAUCAAGACACUGAAAAAUUACUGCAAACAGCAAAACAGCAUUAAGAGACUGGGGGUCACAUGUCCCACUAUGCGUGAGUAAACAAUUUGCUCAGACUGAACCUUGACACAUUUCUUUCUAAGGGGGCAAUGAGCUUCAAAAUACCAAUUUAAGCUAAACAGUAGAGAAUUGUCCCCAUUUGACCACACUAGAGAUGUCCAAACAGAGUACUAUUGUUCUCAGCAGCGAAAAUCAUGAGGUGAAGUGUUUUGAAUAUAAACAAGUUGGCAGAAUUUACCAGUGAGUACUACACCCAGAGCUAACUUUCAUGUGAAUCAGGGGACAGGAAUGGGAUGUACUUUGGUCUGGCUAAACCACUGGGAAGGUAUCAAAGAAGCUCAGCAUGGAGAAGAAACUGAAGCUAUCACAUGUGGAAGAGAAGGGCAGCAAACCUCUCUAUUGGCAAGAAAACCACUGCUCUGAGAUGUGCAAUGGGAGACGUUUGGAGAGCUAUGGCCUGUUCCAUGUGCUAUAAAGUGACUGCUUGUCUUUCCCUCCUUUCUUCCAAAUUCUUCACUUGGCAGUGGUCCCAAUGCACUGUUCCAAGGUCUUUCUCCCCUUGAGGCUUUACUAUUCCUCGACUAAUUACUGUGAUAAAGAAAAACGUCCCUGCAGAAAUUUAUACACUGGAAGUCUAGAUGCUUGAAUAAUACCAGAACUAACAAAAUGCAUCAAAAAAUAUUGCCUCAUAAAUGACAAAGCAUUCAUAUUUGCAACCGUAUGUGGGUUUCUACAAGAAAAAAAAAAAAAAGUAUUUAUGUAUACAAAUUACAAUGCAAUAUGGAAAUACUGUAAUCCUACUACCUAAAAGUCAACCCCUAUA
rnacentral:lncRNA from 1 species